CCUACGGGUGGCAGCAGUGAGGAAUAUUGGUCAAUGGGCGCGAGCCUGAACCAGCCAAGUAGCGUGAAGGAUGACUGCCCUACGGGUUGUAAACUUCUUUUAUAAAGGAAUAAAGUGAGGCACGUGUGCCUUUUUGUAUGGACUUUAUGAAUAAGGCUCGGCUAACUCCGUGCCAGCAGCCGCGGUAAUACGGAGGAUCCGAGCGUUAUCCGGAUUUAUUGGGGUUAAUGGGUGCGUAGAUGGGUUGUUAAGUUAGUUGUGAAAGUUUGCGGCUCAACCGUAAAAUUGCAAUUGAUACUGGCAGCCUUGAGUACAGUUGAGGUAGGCGGAAUUCGUGGUGUAGCGGUGAAAUGCGUAGAUAUCACGAAGAACACCGAUUGCGAAGGCAGCCUACUAAACUGCCACUGACACUGAUGCUCGAAAGUGUGGGUAUCAAACAGGAUUAGAUACCCUUGUAGUC
rnacentral:rRNA from 1 species